rnacentral:tRNA from 1 species
GAGAAUUUAGCUUAAUUAAAGUGUUUGAUUUGCAUUUGAGUGAUUCAAGGUAAAGUCUUGUAGUUCUUA